rnacentral:rRNA from 1 species
CAGCUAGCUUAUCCACCAAUACAACCAAAUAAUAUAAAUAAAAUAGAAUUGACCAAAUACCAAAAACUAAACCAUUCUUUUACCUGAGUAUGGGAGACAGAAAAGGUUCAACCAAAGCAAUAGAGACAGUACCGCAAGGGAAAGCUGAAAGAGAAAUGAAAUAACCCAUAUAAGUAUUAAAAAGCAAAGACUAAACCUUGUACCUUUUGCAUCAUGAUUUAGCCAGUAAACACAAGCAAAGAGACCUUUAGUUUGAAACCCCGAAACCAGGUGAGCUACCCCGAGACAGCCUAUUAAGGGCCAACCCGUCUCUGUGGCAAAAGAGUGGGAAGAGCUCCGGGUAGAAGUGACAGACCUACCGAACCUGGUGAUAGCUGGUUGCCUAAGAAAUGGAUAGAAGUUCAGCCUCGUGUGCCUCAAAUCAAACGAGCACUAACCAAGACACAGAGAAAAACACGAGAGUUAGUUAAAGGGGGUACAGCCCCUUCAACAAAGGAUACAACCUUACCCAGGAGGAUAAAGAUCAUAUUGUACAAAACAUACUGUUCUAGUGGGCCUAAAAGCAGCCACCUAAACAGAAAGCGUUAAAGCUCAGACAGAAAAAAGUUUAUUAUUCUGAUAAAAAAUCUUACUCCCCUAAAUACUAUUAGGCUAAUCCAUGCCCCCAUGGAAGAAAUUAUGCUAAAAUGAGUAACAAGAAGGCCCGCCCUUCUCCAAGCACAAGUGUAAGCCAAACCGGACCAACCAUUGGCAACUAACGAACUCAACCCAAGAGAGCAAUGUGAAUCACAAAAAAAACAAGAAAACCCCACAACCCAAUUAAUCGUUAACCCCACACUGGAGUGCUAUAAAGGAAAGACUAAAAGAAAAGGAAGGAACUCGGCAAACACAAGCCUCGCCUGUUUACCAAAAACAUCGCCUCCUGCAACGCAACCAUGUAUAGGAGGUCCAGCCUGCCCAGUGACUACAAGUUCAACGGCCGCGGUAUUUUGACCGUGCAAAGGUAGCGCAAUCACUUGUCUUUUAAAUAGAGACCUGUAUGAAUGGCUAAACGAGGGCUUAACUGUCUCCCCUUUCAAGUCAGUGAAAUUGAUCUGCCCGUGCAGAAGCG